CCAAGCGAUGGGGUGACGCAGGAAGGUAGCUGGGCCAGUCAGUGGUUGUACUGGUGUAAGAGUGUAGGCCGUGACAUAGGCAAAUCCGUGUCACGUUAAGGCUGAGACUUGAUGCAUACCCGUUGUGGGGAAUUCAGUGAUCCUAUGCUGCCGAGAAAAGCCUCUAGUGAGUUCAUACACGGCCCGUACCCCAAACCGACACAGGUGAUCAGGUAGAGAAUACCAAGGCGAUCGAGAGAACUGUGGUUAAGGAACUCGGCAAAAUGCCCCCGUAACUUCGGGAGAAGGGGGACCAUGCCCGGUGAACAUCUUCACGGUGGGAGCUGGGUGUGGUCGCAGAGACCAGAGAGAAGCGACUGUUUACUAAAAACACAGGUCCGUGCGAAGACGUAAGUCGAUGUAUACGGACUGACGCCUGCCCGGUGCUGGAAGGUUAAGAGGACCGGUUAGCCGUAAGGCGAAGCUGAGAAUUUAAGCCCCAGUAAACGGCGGUGGUAACUAUAACCAUCCUAAGGUAGCGAAAUUCCUUGUCGGGUAAGUUCCGACCUGCACGAAUGGCGUAACGACUUCUCUGCUGCCUCGACCACAGACUCGGCGAAAUUGCACUACGAGUAAAGAUGCUCGUUACACGCGGCAGGACGAAAAGACCCCGGGACCUUUACUAUAGCUUGGUAUUGGCGUUCGAUUCGGUUUGUGUAGGAUAGGUGGGAGACUGUGAAGCAUGCACGCCAGUGUGUGUGGAGUCGUUGUUGAAAUACCACUCUGAUCGUAUUGGACGUCUAACCUCGGCCCAUGAUCUGGGUUAGGGACAGUGCCUGGUGGGUAGUUUAACUGGGGCGGUUGCCUCCUAAAGAGUAACGGAGGCGCCCAAAGGUUCCCUCAGCCUGGAUGGCAAUCAGGUGUUGAGUGCAAGUGCACAAGGGAGCUUGACUGUGAGACUGACACGUCGAGCAGGGACGAAAGUCGGGACUAGUGAUCCGGCACCGGCAAGUGGAAGCGGUGUCGCUCAACGGAUAAAAGGUACCCCGGGGAUAACAGGCUGAUCUUCCCCAAGAGUCCAUAUCGACGGGAUGGUUUGGCACCUCGAUGUCGGCUCGUCGCAUCCUGGGGCUGGAGUAGGUCCCAAGGGUUGGGCUGUUCGCCCAUUAAAGCGGCACGCGAGCUGGGUUUAGAACGUCGUGAGACAGUUCGGUCUCUAUCCGCCGCGCGCGUAAGAAACUUGAGGAAGGCUGUCCCUAGUACGAGAGGACCGGGACGGACGAACCUCUGGUGUGCCAGUUGUUCCACCAGGAGCAUGGCUGGUUAGCUACGUUCGGAAGGGAUAACCGCUGAAAGCAUCUAAGCGGGAAACCUGUUCCAAGAUGAGGUUUCUCACCACCUUGCGUGGUUAAGGCCCCCUACAGACCAUGGGGUUGUAGGCCGGAACUGGAAGCGCAGCAAUGCGUGGAGGUGACCGGUACUAAUAGGCCGAGGGCGAAAAAAA
rnacentral:rRNA from 1 species